UUCUUCUCUUUUCUUCCUCUUUCGUUCGACGUUGACGGUUAGACCAAGCCGAAAACGAAAACCCAUCCCUCUUUUCUUCUUCAUCUUUUCCCUUCCGUCCGUUGAAGCCAAAACCGCCGCUGCAACCGUCGGCCGCCAUCACUGUUCAAGUAAGGUCGUCGCGUGAACAUGUAACCGCCGGCUGUCUUCCCCUCUCCUUUCUCCUCUGUUCUCUGCCCAGCACCGCGUGACCCUCCGCCCAGCGCCGUGUGACCCUCUACCCACCGCCGCGCGACCUCUGUCUCCGCGCCGUUACCCAGAUCUGCGUCGCCGUGCCCCGUCCUAAUCGUCUCUGUCUCCGUCGAAGUUUUGUUGGUGUGAAAGGUAACUUUGGAUCACUUAAAUUCACAACCAAUUUGUGAAUUGUUGAGGGUUCAGUUCGCCAGUAUUUCGGAUUUGAUUCAUUGGAUUUAGUAGAUUGAAGAAUUUGCAUAGAAAUCGAGGUAAGGGAUUUUCUACUGGACUCAAUUGUGAUUGUGAACUGUAUGUGUGUUGAAUGUAUACUGUGGUUUGACUGAAAAUAUAUAUGAAUGCAUAUGAAUUGAAGUUGACUUAACGUCGAAUGUAUAUCGUGAUUGUCAUGGAA